rnacentral:rRNA from 1 species
AUUGAACGCUGGCGGAAUGCUUUACACAUGCAAGUCGGACGGCAGCACGGGAGCUUGCUCCUGGUGGCGAGUGGCGAACGGGUGAGUAAUGCGUCGGAACGUGCCGAGUAAUGGGGGAUAACGCAGCGAAAGUUGUGCUAAUACCGCAUACGCCCCGAGGGGGAAAGCAGGGGAUCUUAGGACAUUGCGUUAUUCGAGCGGCCGACGUCUGAUUAGCUAGUUGGUGGGGUAAAGGCCUACCAAGGCGACGAUCAGUAGCGGGUCUGAGAGGAUGAUCCGCCACACUGGGACUGAGACACGGCCCAGACUCCUACGGGAGGCAGCAGUGGGGAAUUUUGGACAAUGGGGGCAACCCUGAUCCAGCCAUUGCGCGUGAGUGAAGAAGGCCUUCGGGUUGUAAAGCUCUUUCGGCAGGAACGAAACGGCGGGCUCUAACAUAGCCUGUUAAUGACGGUACCUGAAGAAGAAGCACCGGCUAACUACGUGCCAGCAGCCGCGGUAAUACGUAGGGUGCGAGCGUUAAUCGGAAUUACUGUGCGUAAAGCGUGCGCAGGCGGAUUGUUAAGCAAGACGUGAAAUCCCCGGGCUUAACCUGGGAAUGGCGUUUUGAACUGGCAGUCUAGAGUGCGUCAGAGGGGGGUGGAAUUCCACGUGUAGCAGUGAAAUGCGUAGAGAUGUGGAGGAACACCGAUGGCGAAAGCAGCCCCCUGGGAUGACACUGACGCUCAUGUACGAAAGCGUGGGUAGC